CCGGUACGCCUGCGCAGCCGGCGGCUGCGCGGUAGCUGGGGGAGGGGGACGGAGAGUCGCGUCCCGAGGGCUGGGAGAAGCUGCGCCCUGGGGCUCCUCCGAGGGGCGCAGCCCUCAAGGGGAGCCUGUCGCCGGGUGAGUUGUGUUCUGGCAGACGAGUACAAGAGUCAACACAGCACACGAAUUCAAGAUGGAGAGGGAUCCUGUAGCCUACAAUGGAUGAAGAAAACUAGGGAGAGCAAAGAUGCCUGUGAGAUAGAAGAGAGAGCUCUCCCAAGGGUCUGACUGGGGUUAAAACUAAACUAGCUGGGGAAAAAAAGAUACAUCAGAUUUUACACGGGUUAGCCUCCUUCACCUCUGGUAUCUAUUUUUCUUUUAAUAUGGGAGGGGCUGAUAUGGAUUUUGGAUAGAAGGAGGGGCAGCCAUUUUGGGGGGAAACCUUGACAGCUUCUGUUGUCUAAAGUGGUUGUGUACAGUUUAGUCAUUUUUUCAACUGCUAAAAAGGAGUAGUUGCAUAACAGUCCUGGGAUUGCCUUGCAGCAGCCAAACCAUCUCGUGUGGAGUUACUGCCUUCUUUUUUCAUCAUCCUGCACUCUUUCCCCAUAUUUAAAGGAUGAGCUUUUAGAUGAGAAAACCAGAUGAGUGCUAGUGGUGGAAAAAGAAUCUUGUUUUAAUUAUACACAGAGUUCUAAUUUGUAGUGGGCAGUAGUAUCAUUAGGACCACACUUGCAUCUAAAUUGAUACUUGGUUGACAGCUAUGGCGAGUACAAAGGUCACAAACAUGGCGGGAGAACUGUUUUCACUCCCAUCCUUCAAGAUGUGGACUCAAGUACAUGAGUUAUCUUCUUGUUCCUUCUGUACUGUGUCUGAUCUAUUAAUGAAUUGGAAAAUGAGUGAUGUAGAUUAAGCUUUCUGAGUUGGUGAGAAUUAAACCUUGAAUCAGGGAUAGUUCCAAGUAUAGGCAAAGCAAGUCAUUGCCAAGGACAACAAAUGGAGGUAGUGUCUCUCAAAUGUAGCAGCUGGCACUCAUGUCUCUUUUGCCCUUUUGGAAGAAAAUAUAAAUAAGUCUUCUUUGGUUCCCUAUCUCAACUCACUCCUUCCUCUUUCCCUUUCCCAUAGCUAGACUUGAUCAGACCCUUACCCUUCAAGUGUCAAAGCUUAUUUUUAUUUGUCACAUGUUCAUGUUUAGAUAAAUUUAUCCAUAUUCAACAUUUUUAUAGCAUAACAUAUCUUUCAUUCUUUGUUCCUUUAAUAAUUGUUCUUUGUAAUACUCUUUUAUUUUCUUAAGAAUAAAAUGUACAGAAAAAAAGGCUUACAUGAGUUAUAUGAAUAUUUCAAAGGUUUUACAACAUGGUGUUUGCCAGACUAGGUAUUUCUGAGCACCAAUGUAGUUAAGUUACAAGUUAUUUGGAGGUGUGUGUAAAAUCAGUUCCCUUAACAGGCUAAGCAACAGCAGCAAAAGGAGCUUUUGGUAAUAUUACUUUGUUACAUUUCUGGUCAGCAUGAUUAAGUUGGUUACUGGUGUGACUACUAUAACGUGUCUCUACCACUAAGACUGAAUUCUUACUCCACAAAUGGAGUGCUGCCAGGAAAAUGAGGAGACAUACAGAAAAAAAAUCUUCAAGAGUAAGGCUUAACUUGAAAGUUUUGUUUUAGUACUGACAAAGAUGUUACGCAUAUUAUUCAGAAUUGUAUAUUUUUAAAAAUUAUGUCUCCUACUGAAUGUCUCUCUUCUAUGAGCUCUGCAUAAUAAAUUUUCAUGGGGAGGGUGGAAGAUUCUUGUUUUGGAUAGGUGUCAUUAAAGGAUUUAAUGCAUUUUUCUGCAACAUUAACUCAAAUUGGCCUAGAUUCAAAUGCUGAUACAUGGAUUGAAAAGUUCAAGAAAAUUUAAUGAUCUAUUGCAGUAUAUUAAGUUGUGAAGAAAUGUCUAAUGGUGCAUCACAAGGAAAAGGAUAAGCUUUUCUUAUGAGGUAAGCAUGAGCAUAUAGAAGAUCACUGCUGAGCAACUGAUACUCAAACCUGUGGGUUUGACUGGUAGCCACGUAGAAUUAAUCCAUUUCCUUACGUCCUGUGUCACAGUCAGCUCAGUGCUAAAAAAGUGUGAGACUCCCUCUGUCUUGAAGUUUGUUUGGGCAUCCGUGCUCUAAGGAUACCAGGCCCAUUGCUGAUACUGCACAGCUACGCAACUGUGGCACAGGCUUCUGAGGACACUGCUGAGUUGUGGGAAGAAAAAAAAAAAAAAAGCUGUGAGAAACUGCGAAGAGGAGAUUGAUGUGAGAUGAGAAAGCUGAAAUUGCAGACAGGGUAAGACAAGGAAAAGCACUGACAUGGGCAACUAUAAAAUCAUAAAGAAAAAGCAGGGCUGCAGCUGUGUUCCAGGGAGCUGCAGGAACUGCCUCUUCUCCUCCUGACUCCUGCCUGCCUGGCAAAGACUCUGUGUUUGUCUUGUAACAGGUGGUGAGCAUAGGAAUGCCUAGCCUAGUAGCAACGUUUGUGUAUGAUAACCAAUAAACAUUUUUUUAUACUUCUAAGAUGGGUAUAUCCUGCUUGCAGAAUCACUUUGUGCUUGGCUAAGGUGUCCAAACAGUGACCCAAAGAGGAAUGAUUACAGGAGAUAGAAGGUCACAGAUAAAGCCAAUGUAGGAAUUGUCACCCAAAAAAGUGAUCUCAAAACAACAGAAGUGCUUCCAGGUAAAAAAACCCAAACAACUGGUUUUGGAUGGAGACUGGUGACCUCACAGAGUAGAAGGAAAGUGGGGGAUUAGGGUGGAAACCUCUAGCUGCAAGGGAACUGUGGGAGAAAAGAGGUGUUAACAAGGGUGGGGAUGUGUUGAGGCUGAUGAGAGAGAACAGUAGCUGAAGGCUUUCUGAUGGCAAAGUUCAACAGCUGGCUGGGAAACCAGCUGUGAUACUACUGGCCAAUUUUGUGAAAUUAGCAUUAGCAACCUCUAGCAAAGAUCUUCUCCAAAUGAUAUAGACAUGAUAUUGAAAUAUUUAAUAAAAAGGGAAAAAUAAAAGCAAAAUUAAGUUCACCUUGUUGAAAGGCAAUGUGAAAAUAGAUCCAGUGCAUCACUGAGUCAUGACUAGAAUCUUUCUAACCUGUACUUCCAAAGAGACUUUUUAUGAAAGAGUACUUUUUAAAAGCUAUAUUUUGUGAAUGAUACCUACAAGAAGGGAAGGAAAAAAAAAAAGGCUUAAUUUGUCGAUAAAUGAAUGUGAAGGUGAAAUGCAGUUUAGAACAUCAUAUGGGAAAAUAAUUUCUCAGAGCAGGGAGUGCAGUUAUUUUUUUUCAUUAAUUGCUUUUUCUAGUUCCUGUCCUGCUUAUUUUCUGGUCUGUGGGAAACAAAUAUAAAACACUGGGACUACAUCUUUGCUAGCGAGCUUUGUUAGCAAAUGGUAACAUUGCUAAAGCCAAGCUGACAGUUAAGGAAAAGUCCACAAUUAAGCGGAGGGCUUGAGUUUUAUGGAAUAGGUACAGCUUGUAUUAAUGGUGGAUUUGUCAUUGCAAAUAAAAAUAAUUGAAAGCAAAAAAA